ensembl:lncRNA
AUGUAUGGACCCCCAUCAUCACAUAUAGACCCCCAACGUCACCCAUGGACCCCAAAGAUGGGAACAUGGGGCACCCCCAAAGCAGCACCCCCGAGCCCGCAGCUCCAGCAUGUACAGGUCGUUCAGGUACCUAUGGGGGGGAACGUCACCCGGGGACCCCAAUGUCACCCAGGGACCCCCAAUGUCACCUAUGGACCCCCAAUGUCACCCAUAGACCCCCAUCACCCACGUAACCCCAUUAUCAUCUAUGAACCCCCAUCAUCACCCAUGGACCCCCAACGUCACCCAGGGACUCCCAAACACAACAUGGGGCUAUGGGGCACCCCCAAAGCAGCACCCCUGAGCCCGCAGCUCCAGGAUGUACAGGUCAUUCAGGUACCUGGGGGGGACGUCACCCAGGGACCCCAAUGUCACCCAGGGACCCCCAAUGUCGCCUAUGGACCCCCAAGGUCACCCAGGGACCCCCAUCACCUACAUACCCCCAUUAUCACUUAUGGACCCCCAUCACCUAUGGACCCCCAACAUCACCCAUGGACCCCAAAGAUGGGGACAUGGGGCUGUGGGGGACCCCCAAAGCAGCACCCCAGAGCCCGCAGCUCCAGGAUGUACGGGUCAUUCAGGUACCUAUGGAUGGGGAAUGUCAUCCAUGGACCCCCAUCACCUAUGGACCUCCAUCGUCACACAUGGAUCCCCAUCACCUACAUACCCCCAUUAUCAUGUAUGGACCCCCAUCAUCACAUACAGACCCCCAACAUCACCCAUGAACCCCAAAGAUGGGAACAUGAGGCUAUGGGGCACCCCCAAAGCAGCACCCCCGAGCCCACAGCUCCAGGAUGUACAGGUCAUUCAGGUACCUAUGGAGGAGGAACGUCACCCGGGGACCCCAAUGUCACCCAUAGACCCCCAUCACCCACAUAACCCCAUUAUCAUCUAUGAACCCCCAUCAUCACCCAUGGACCCCCAACGUCACCCAGGGACCCCCAAACACAACAUGGGGCUAUGGGGCACCCCCAAAGCAGCACCCCUGAGCCCGCAGCUCCAGGAUGUACAGGUCGUUCAGGUACCUGGGGGGGACGUCACCCAGGCACCCCAAUGUCACCCAGGGACCCCCAAUGUCACCUAUGGACCCCCAAGGUCACCCAGGGACCCCCAUCACCUACAUACCCCCAUUAUCACUUAUGGACCCCCAUCACCUAUGGACCCCCAACAUCACCCAUGGACCCCAAAGAUGGGGACAUGGGGCUGUGGGGGACCCCCAAAGCAGCACCCCAGAGCCCACAGCUCCAGGAUGUACGGGUCAUUCAGGUACCUGGGGGGGGACGUCACCCGGGGACCCCAAUGUCACCCAUGGACCCCCAUCACCUAUGGACCCCUAACGUCACCUAUGGACCCCCAUCGUCAUCUAUGGACCCCCAUCACCUAUGGACCCCCAUCAUCACCUAUGGACCCCCAACGUCACCCCUGGACCCCCAUCAUCACGUAUAGACCCCCAACAUCAUGUAUGGAUCCCCAACGUCACCUAUGGACCCCCAACACACAGCACAGGGCUGUGGGGCACCCCCAAAGCAGCAGCCCCAAGCCCACAGCUCCACAAUGUGCAGCUCAUGCAAGUACGUAUGUAUGGCAGAACGUC